AUAUUUACCUGAUGAGGGAGACACCGUGAUCAGGAAGGUGGUUUUCCAAGGGCAAGGCUCAUCCAUUACACUUGGGAUAUGCUGACCCCUGCGAUUUCCCCAAAUGCAGGAAACUAGACUACGUAAUUUUGGUAGUGGGGGACUACAUUCAUGCUCUCCCUUA
ensembl:snRNA U1 U1 spliceosomal RNA